CUCCCAGUUUUGGGGUCCUUGGUACAGGCAGGCCGGGGAAUCCCUAUUUUACACCGGGACGCGCAGCACUCGACGAGGGUUGCGGUUCCACACCCGUUUUGGGGACCUUGGUACAGGCAGGCCGGGGAUUCCCCUUCUUUACAACGGGGCGCGCAACACGCGACGAGCGCUGCGCCCCCCUCCCGCUUUUGGGGACCUUGGUACAGGCAGGCCGGGGAUUCCCUCUUUUAUUCCUCCCGG
rnacentral:ncRNA from 1 species